rnacentral:tRNA from 1 species
GAGGUCUUAGCUUAAUGAAAGCGAUUGAUUUGCAUUCAGUAGAUGUAGGAUAGAGUCUUACAGUCCUUA